rnacentral:rRNA from 1 species
GACAGAGGGUGCAAACGUUGUUCGGAAUUACUGGGCGUAAAGCGCGUGUAGGCGGCCCUGCAAGUCGGAUGUGAAAUCCCACGGCUCAACCGUGGAAGUGCAUUCGAAACUGCAGGGCUAGAGUCCUGGAGAGGAAGGUGGAAUGCUUGGUGUAGAGGUGAAAUUCGUAGAUAUCAAGCGGAACACCGGUGGCGAAGGCGGCCUUCUGGACAGUGACUGACGCUGAGACGGACGAAAGCGGUGGGGAGCAAACAGGG